AUGGCCGGCGACGGCGAGGGGGCCGGCGACGGCGAGGGGGCCGCCGCCUUUGCGGCGGCGAAGGCGGAGUGGCUCGGCGGGUCUGGUGGCCUGCCGCUGCUGCGGUGGUGGCGCGCGUCGGGCGGCGGCGAGCUGCUGCGGGGCUGGGACGCGGUGCGCGCCGGGGCCGUGGCGCCGGCGCUCGCGGCGGUGUCGGGCGCGUGCCUCGCCAUGUCGGCCAUGCUGCUCGCCGAGGCCGUGUUCAUGGCCGCCGCCAGCCUCGUGCGGCGCCGCCCCGAGCGGCGGUACAGCGCGGGCCCGCUCGGCGCCCAGGACGGCGAGGACGAGGAGCGCGGCCUCCUCGGCUACCCCAUGGUGCUCGUCCAAAUCCCCAUGUACAACGAGAGAGAGGUGUACAAGCUUUCGAUUGGAGCAGCGUGCGGGCUGUCGUGGCCGUCGGAUAGGGUCAUCGUACAGGUUCUGGACGAUUCCACGGAUCCAACGAUCAAGGAUCUGGUGGAGCUGGAAUGCAAAAUUUGGGCUAAGAAAGGCAAGAACGUAAAAUACGAGGUCAGAAACAAUCGAGAAGGAUACAAGGCUGGUGCACUGAAAGAGGGGAUGCUGCAUGCUUAUGUCCAACAGUGUGAUUUCCUCGCUGUAUUUGAUGCCGAUUUCCAACCGGAACCCGACUUCCUCAUGAGAACCAUCCCAUAUCUCGCACGUAAUCCACAAAUUGCUCUUGUUCAAGCACGCUGGGAGUUCGUUAAUCCCAAUGAAUGCCUGAUGACAAGGAUACAAAAGAUGACACUAGAUUAUCACUUUAAAGUAGAGCAGGAGGCAGGUUCAUCCACAUUUGCCUUCUUUGGUUUUAAUGGAACUGCUGGGGUAUGGAGAAUUUCUGCCAUCAAGGAAGCUGGGGGCUGGGAUGAUCGAACCACAGUUGAAGACAUGGAUUUGGCAGUCAGAGCAGGCUUGAAAGGAUGGAAAUUUGUCUAUGUUGGCGAUGUCAAGGUAAAAAGUGAACUGCCAAGCAAUCUGAAGGCAUAUCGCCGUCAACAGCACCGUUGGACAUGUGGGGCAGCAAAUUUAUUCCGAAAGAUGGGAGCAGAGAUAUUGCUUACUAAGGAGGUGUCACUUUGGUGGAAGCUUUAUUUGCUAUACAGCUUCUUCUUGGUGAGGAAGGUUGUUGCUCAUGUGCUACCUUUCGUGCUCUACUGUGUAGUGAUCCCAUUUUCGGUGCUAAUUCCUGAGAUCAAAAUUCCUGCUUGGGGGGUGGUUUAUAUUCCAACAGCAAUAACCAUUCUAUACGCCGUCCGAAAUCCAAGUUCUAUCCACUUCAUACCAUUCUGGAUCCUCUUUGAGAAUGUCAUGUCUUUUCACCGAACAAAGGCAACGUUCAUCGGUUUGCUGGAGUUGGGAAGCGUAAACGAGUGGGUGGUCACGGAGAAGCUUGGCAGUGUAAGCAAUACAAAGCCAGUGCCUCAGAUACUUGAAAGGCCUCGCUGCAGGUUUUGGGACAGAUGGACAGUGUCAGAACUUCUGUUUGCUGUGUUCCUUUUCGUUUGUGCGACCUACAACUUGGUGUAUGGAAGCGACUUCUAUUUCAUCUAUAUAUAUCUGCAGGCUAUAACAUUUAUCAUUGUGGGCACUGGUUUCUGCGGAACCUCUAACUCAUAG
rnacentral:rRNA from 1 species